CACUUUAUUAUGUGAUAUCUGUUUGGGGACCUUACUAAUAUGUGCUAGCUUUCUACUGAUUGAAGGGAGGAGCUCGAGCCGCAACGGUGGUCCACGGCGCCAUGGCCAUCCUCCUUGGCAGGAGGAGCAUGCGCCGCAGAGACGGCCGGAUCUGUCCAGCCCUCGCGCUGCUGUCCGUCCACCCUAGGGCGACCUGCUGAUUCCCGGAGCUCAUCACGCAUGGUACCUUUUAGUCCUGUUGAUUCCCUCCUCAUGUGGCCUGAUUCAUUACUACUGUGCAAUAUGGAUCUCACCUUUUGUUGGUAUUGGCUGUAGAUGCAGAAAACGGAAGCCUCAUGAAGCCUGAUGCAUUACUACUCUGUGCAACAUGCAUCUCACCUUUUGUUGGUACUGGCUGUAGAUGCAGAAAACGGAACAUCUGCCUCCUUUUUUGGUGCGGAGAUGAGCCCCUAUGGUAAAUGAAUCUACGGUAGAUCCACUUAAUUUAAUUCAUUUUUGUUGCCUUUAGCCAUUUAUGCGGUUCUAAAAGUGACUUCACAUGUGUUCAUUAUCUAUUGGUGCAGGUAUGCAAGUACAGGUCAUUUUAUAAGAAGGGGAUGCAUUAUUUUCUGGUUUGUGAUUCUCCGUACAGAACAGAGAAGUUUCUCCAAUUUAUUUCUUCCCUCGGAUUGGACUGAUACCAGUACCAACUGUGACUUGGCAUUUUUGAGUCAUCUUGAUACUUUCAUAGUAAUCUAACAAUGUCUUUGUAGUGGUUUACCUUUUUUUUUGCAGAGAUCAUCUAUUAUUGUUGUAAAAAAAUAACACUAAUGUAUAUCAUUAGAAUUUUGCAAGAGUAAAUAUAUAAGAUGCACAUCUUGUUUAUACAGUAUCCUCACUGAAAUCAUUCAGUUGGAGCAUGUGAAUAGAAAUAAAU
rnacentral:lncRNA from 1 species